AUAAUAUUCGGACCGUCGGUCUUACUAAAUAUCACCAGCUUAUUGGAAGAUCUUCCCUUUGUCGU
rnacentral:pre_miRNA from 1 species